rnacentral:rRNA from 1 species
CGAUGAACCACUUCGGUGGGGAUUAGUGGCGAACGGGUGAGUAACACGUGGGCAAUCUGCCCUGCACUCUGGGACAAGCCCUGGAAACGGGGUCUAAUACCGGAUACUGAUCCUCGCAGGCAUCUGCGAGGUUCGAAAGCUCCGGCGGUGCAGGAUGAGCCCGCGGCCUAUCAGCUAGUUGGUGAGGUAACGGCUCACCAAGGCGACGACGGGUAGCCGGCCUGAGAGGGCGACCGGCCACACUGGGACUGAGACACGGCCCAGACUCCUACGGGAGGCAGCAGUGGGGAAUAUUGCACAAUGGGCGAAAGCCUGAUGCAGCGACGCCGCGUGAGGGAUGACGGCCUUCGGGUUGUAAACCUCUUUCAGCAGGGAAGAAGCGAAAGUGACGGUACCUGCAGAAGAAGCGCCGGCUAACUACGUGCCAGCAGCCGCGGUAAUACGUAGGGCGCAAGCGUUGUCCGGAAUUAUUGGGCGUAAAGAGCUCGUAGGCGGCUUGUCACGUCGGUUGUGAAAGCCCGGGGCUUAACCCCGGGUCUGCAGUCGAUACGGGCAGGCUAGAGUUCGGUAGGGGAGAUCGGAAUUCCUGGUGUAGCGGUGAAAUGCGCAGAUAUCAGGAGGAACACCGGUGGCGAAGGCGGAUCUCUGGGCCGAUACUGACGCUGAGGAGCGAAAGCGUGGGGAGCGAACAGGAUUAGAUACCCUGGUAGUCCACGCCGUAAACGGUGGGCACUAGGUGUGGGCAACAUUCCACGUUGUCCGUGCCGCAGCUAACGCAUUAAGUGCCCCGCCUGGGGAGUAC